ACUGGAACUCAAGCAGGUCAGGGAGCAGGAGCUGAUGCAGAGGCCGUGGAGGGAUGAGCUUCCCUUGUUGGCGCAUAGCUGUCAUAGGACACACGUUCCAUGUAAUGGACAUUCUUAGGUAUUGGUCAUGUCUCUUGUAAUCAACUUAUACAUUACUUUCCUUUGUUUGCUAAAGAUUUCCUAAGAUUUUAAACAUACCAAGGUCAUUUUAUCUGCCUUCUCCCCAGGUCAAAGUGGCUGUUGUGCCUUUUGCUCUCCAGUGUGUAUAUUUACUCUUCCUUCCUGUUUGUACUGCCUAGAAUCUAAGUUCAGUGUUGAACAUCAGAAGCAAGCUUCCACGUGCUCUGACUUAAGUGGAAGCACAGAGAAGCACCCGCCCAUGCGAUGAUUGUAGCUGAGGGCCACUGGGCUUCAUUAUAGUUUAAGAAAUCUUUCCUUGGUGUUCAGCUUAGCAGUUCAUGGUUAGACUCUGUUUUCUGUCCCUGUUUAAGGUUGAUCACAUUGUUUUGACCUUUGCUACAGUCAUGUUUUUUAUCCUCUGCAUCAUUAAUAUUUUGGUUGAAUUAAUUUUGCUGUGUCAUGUAUUAUAUUUGAUAAAUUAUCUACCUUUAUAUACUCUAGGUCUUCCUGUUAUGACAACCAAAUGUGUCUCUAGACAUUGCCAAAUGUUCCUCAAGGUUCAGAAUUACCCCAGCAAGAGCUCACUGGGCUAGGGGGUUUUUGUUUGUUUGUUUGUUUUCCUUUUUUUGCUUCAGAUGUUACAAUAGUUUUGUUUCAUGAGAUAAAUAUUUGCUAGAAGUGCAUACUGCUGUGUUUAUAUUAUGUGUAUUUUGUUAGGAGUUUUAUAUCUACAUUGGUGGGAAAGACUGGAUCGUAGUUUUCUUGUAUUGUUUUUGUCUGAUUUUGAUAUCAGGUUUGCAGGAGGCUUCACAAAUGAUGUAGGGAGUGUUUUCUUCUUGGAUGCUCUGAAAAAGUUUCCAUGAAAUUUCCAUUGUCUCUUAUGUAACAUGGAAUUCACCAGUGGACCUUGAAAGAUUUUUAAUUGUUGAAUCAGUUUGGGUUUUUUUUGUUUUGUUUAGUUUUUAUGCAUGUUUUAUACACUGUUGCUGUCUUCAGACACACACCAGAAGAGGGCAUCAGAUCCCAUUACAGAUGGCUGUGAGCCACCAUGUGGUUGCUGGGACUUGAACUCAGGACCUCUGGCUGGAAGAGACGUCAGUGCUCUUAACUGCUGGGGCUUCUCUCCGAUCCCAAGCUGAAUCCAUUUUCUAAUGUUAUUGUUCUGAUCUGAUUUUUCUCUUCAUGAGUAAUUAGUAAUGUGUGUCCACUUUGAACCAUUUGUAUUUCAUAUCAAUUGUGUGCUUUGUUGGCACAAGUUAAUUCCUGUGUAGUCUGUAAUGAUGUCUCAUUUCUGCUUUUAAUAUUUUGUAUCCUCCCUUUCUAGUUGAUUAGCCUGGCUAAGGUUUAUCUAUCUAGCUUCUGGGCUAAUUCCCUCCCCCAAUUACAUUGAUUUCUUCUCAUUCGGAAAAAGAUUACUGGACUCUGGAGAAGCUUUAAUUAAAUUCAAACGCUUCAUCUCUAAAGACUAAAGUUGUACUUUGCUCAUCUGUCCUAACCAAGUCUGCCUUUUGUUUGGUGAACUCACACUUAGCACCAUUUAUUCUGUGAUUCUAUUUAUAUUUGUAAUAUAGCAUCUUUCUAUCUCUAAUGUAUAUUUUUAAAUCUUAGUUGUUCAGUUUUUUUUAAAAAUCUUUCCUGUGUAUAGUGGUUCCUGUGCAUCUUGAGUACAGUCUGCCUCAAGCUGUUAAGAUAAUUGUAGUACAUUUUAGCAGUGUGGCUCCAUUGUUUUUCUCUUAUUCCAUUAUCAUCAUAUAUGUGUAUGUAUCACUCUCCUAAAAAAGUCCAGAUAAUAAUUAUAUUGUAUGCAUGUAUACACAUAUGCAUAUACACACAUACAUAUUUAUAGUUGAUUGCUUUUGUUCUGCUAUGAUGGGUCUCAGGUAGCUCAGGCUGGCCUUAAAUUUGCUGUAAGGCUGAGGUUGGAGUGCUGGAAUUACAGGCCUAUAUACCACACCGAGCGGCCUGUCUUCAUGAUAGUUUCUUAGGGCUACUCCUUUGGUUUUUUUAUCAGAGAUCAGUUAAUAAGCAUUUUCCCCUAUGGUUAUUUUCCUUACUCCUCUUCUUC
rnacentral:lncRNA from 1 species